GAUGAACGCUGGCGGCGUGCCUAAUACAUGCAAGUCGAGCGAACAGACGAGGAGCUUGCUCCUCUGACGUUAGCGGCGGACGGGUGAGUAACACGUGGAUAACCUACCUAUAAGACUGGGAUAACUUCGGGAAACCGGAGCUAAUACCGGAUAAUAUAUUGAACCGCAUGGUUCAAUAGUGAAAGACGGUUUUGCUGUCACUUAUAGAUGGAUCCGCGCCGCAUGAGCUAGUUGGUAAGGUAACGGCUUACCAAGGCAACGAUGCGUAGCCGACCUGAGAGGGUGAUCGGCCACACUGGAACGGGGCCACCGUCCAGACUCCUACGGGAGGCAGCAGUCGGGAAUCUUCCGCAAUGGGCGAAAGCCUGACGGAGCAACGCCGCGUGAGUGAUGAAGGUCUUCGGAUCGUAAAACUCUGUUAUUAGGGAAGAACAACUGUGUAAGUAACUAUGCAGGUCUUGACGGUACCUAAUCAGAAAGCCACGGCUAACUACGUG
rnacentral:rRNA from 1 species